GAUGAACGCUGGCGGCGUGCCUAAUACAUGCAAGUCGAGCGAACAGACGAGGAGCUUGCUCCUCUGACGUUAGCGCCGGUCGGGUGAGUAACAUAUGGACAACCUACCCAUAAGACUGGGAUAACUUCGGGAAACCGGAGCUAAUACCGGAUAAUAUAUUGAACCGCAUUGUUCAAUAGUUAAAGACGGUUUUGCUGUCACUUAUAGAUGGAUCCGCGUCGCAUCAGUUAGUUGGUAAGGUAACGGCUUAGCCAGGCUGGGAUGCGGAGCCGACCCGAGAGGGUGAUCGCACACACUGGAACUGAGACACGGUCCAGACUCCUACGGGGGGCAGCAGCAGAGAAUCUUCCGGGAUGGGCGAGAGCCUGACGGAACAACGCCGCGUGAGUGAUGAACGUCCUCGGAUCGUAAAACUCUGUUGUUAGGGAAGAACAAAAGUGUAAGUAGCUAUGAAGAUCUUGACGGUACCUGAUGAGGAAGCCACGGCUAACUCCGUG
rnacentral:rRNA from 1 species